AUUUAUAUAGUUUAAUUAAAACAUUACAUUUUCAAUGUAAAAAAAAGAAAACUUUGUAAAUUA
rnacentral:tRNA from 1 species